rnacentral:rRNA from 1 species
AUACGUAGGGGGCGAGCGUUGUCCGGAAUGAUUGGGCGUAAAGGGCGCGUAGGCGGCCCGGUAAGUCUGGAGUGAAAGUCCUGUUUUUAAGAUGGGAAUUGCUUUGGAUACUGUCGGGCUUGAGUGCAGGAGAGGUAAGUGGAAUUCCCAGUGUAGCGGUGAACUGCGUAGAGAUUGGGAGGAACACCAGGGGCGAAGGCGACUUACGGGACUGUAACUGACGCUGAGGCGCGAAAGUGUGGGGAGCAAACAGGAUUAGAUGCCCUGGUAGUCCACGCCGUAAACGAUGAAUACUAGGUGUCGGGUUUCUAUAGAGAUUCGGUGCCGCAGCAAACGCAAUAAGUAUUCCACCUGGGGAGUACGUUCGCAAGAAUGAAACUCAAAGGAAUUGACGGGG